CUCAGGAUGAACGCUGGCGGCGUGCCUAAUACAUGCAAGUCGAGCGAACAGACAAGGAGCUUGCUCCUUUGACGUUAGCGGCGGACGGGUGAGUAACACGUGGGUAACCUACCUAUAAGACUGGGAUAACUUCGGGAAACCGGAGCUAAUACCGGAUAAUAUUUCGAACCGCAUGGUUCGAUAGUGAAAGAUGGUUUUGCUAUCACUUAUAGAUGGACCCGCGCCGUAUUAGCUAGUUGGUAAGGUAACGGCUUACCAAGGCGACGAUACGUAGCCGACCUGAGAGGGUGAUCGGCCACACUGGAACUGAGACACGGUCCAGACUCCUACGGGAGGCAGCAGUAGGGAAUCUUCCGCAAUGGGCGAAAGCCUGACGGAGCAACGCCGCGUGAGUGAUGAAGGUCUUCGGAUCGUAAAACUCUGUUAUUAGGGAAGAACAUACGUGUAAGUAACUGUGCACGUCUUGACGGUACCUAAUCAGAAAGCCACGGCUAACUACGUGCCAGCAGCCGCGGUAAUACGUAGGUGGCAAGCGUUAUCCGGAAUUAUUGGGCGUAAAGCGCGCGUAGGCGGUUUUUUAAGUCUGAUGUGAAAGCCCACGGCUCAACCGUGGAGGGUCAUUGGAAACUGGAAAACUUGAGUGCAGAAGAGGAAAGUGGAAUUCCAUGUGUAGCGGUGAAAUGCGCAGAGAUAUGGAGGAACACCAGUGGCGAAGGCGACUUUCUGGUC
rnacentral:rRNA from 1 species